rnacentral:rRNA from 1 species
CACGUAGGCACCAAGCGUUGUCCGGAUUUAUUGGGCGUAAAGGGCUCGUAGGCGGCCAACUAAGUCAGACGUGAAAUCCCUCGGCUUAACCGGGGAACUGCGUCUGAUACUGGAUGGCUUGAGGUUGGGAGAGGGAUGCGGAAUUCCUGGUGUAGCGGUGAAAUGCGUAGAUAUCAGGAGGAACACCGGUGGUGUAGACGGCUUUCUGGACCGUAACUGACGCUGAAACACGAAAGCGUGGGUAGCAAACAGG